CAACCCCUCAGGCCUUGUGCCUGGCGUUGGGGUGCUGUUUCUCUGAAACGGCGCCCCGAAAGAUAGUGGCAGCGGCGCCCGUGGCGCGACGUGUGUAGUAACACUUCACUGACACGAAGCCCCGGCGUUGCCCGCCGACAAGAACCCCAAUCUCUUAUCA
rnacentral:misc_RNA from 2 species